AUUUUCAUCACAUGAAAGACACUGUGUUGUACUUGCAUCGUUUUCUCUUUACUGAUCAUAUAUUCUUUCGAUUAAUCUGACAUGUAAAAGUGGAAAACUAGCAGAUCAGAUCAGGUAUAAUAAGUAUCCAGUUGGAGCAAUCGAGUUAAAACCAGACAAAGAAAAUAACAUAUAAAAAAGAUAGAAGGAUGCAAAAGGAUUGUAAAAACCUUUUAUGUCUAUCCAUUUGGGUGCAGUUUCCGAGAUUGGCCACUCAGACUAAGCUGGUGACAGAGAGCGAGAACUGUUGGAGAGCACUGGCUUGGAACCCCGCACUAAAUAUCUGCAAACCAUUGCAAUGCAGGUGACUCGCCAGUGGAAUUAUACAAUGCAUGAGAGACAGCCAGCCUCGUAACAUUUUGUCCAUCGCAAAUGUUGGGCUAAGAGAAAACCUCUAGAGUGUCAUCUUCUUGUUUCUGAAUCAAAUCCUUCUUUCAGAUUUAUAAUUAGAAAAUGCUCUUCCAUUAAGUGUUUCGAAGUGAGGAAAAGGCUUUACGGCCAUCAGCACGAUGCUCAACGCAGUGACCCCAUUUUUAACAUUGCUCAGUUGAAAGAAGCUUCAGAGGAAAACAAAACAGAUUCAGGUCUAUCACAAAUGGCUAAGAUUCUCGUUCAUGAAGUUCAACAUUCUGUCAGUUAUGUGUCUUCCCUAUUCUUAUUAUGCUUAGUCGUUUGACUUUUCCCUAUUCUGUCAGUUGCAUUCUCCUUCUUUCUCCUGCAGUAGUAAAAUUAAGAUAUUGUUAUGUUCUCAAAUCAGAAACAUGUACAUAAUGUAGCACCUUUCAGAGACCGUUCUUCCGUUGAUGUCAAGUCCAUCGCAAAUGGAGCUCUGAAAAUUUCUGAGAGACAGCCUUUAGAGUGUCGCCUAGUUUCUGCAGCUUUUAAUCCUUCUGCCAGAUAUGUUGCCUUCCUCUUUUAAAUAGACUUUGUUUAAUGAAAUUACAUUCUCAAUAUUUCUUCUGUUCUCUAUGUGAAUCAAAGUUUUAAUUUACUUCUGAUGCUUUAGGUAUGACAUCACUUUAGAAGGCUAUAUUACUCGGCUGGAGACGUCAGACAUGAAAACUGAGCAAUGACCGUUUUGCUGAUUAGCACCUUUUUAUAACAUGUUAGCAGAGAAUUCUUUGGUUGUUAAGGAAAUAUACUCCAAAGCUGAAUUGACGAUUUUAAGUAUUUAAUUUAUUGUUUAUACUUGUUUGAACAAUUUAUAGAUUGACCACUCAGACUAAGCUGGUGACAGAGAGCGAGAACUGUUGGAGAGCACUGGCUUGGAACACCACACCAAAUAUCUGCAACCCACUGGUAAAUUUUUAUCUAGUCAAAUAUUUUAUAUACCUUAAAUUAAUGAGUCCUUUUUGUGCAUGUUAGUGCAUCAUUAAGAACUGAAGUCAAUAGCUCUAGUCUUCGGUUACAGAGAAUAAUAUUGAAAGUUUUCAGCCUUUUAUAUGUUCUCUAAUCGCUUAUGUGGAGGUCAGUCGCAAAUAGAAUUCUACAAUGUAUGAGAGAAAACCUCUAGAAUAAACUACCCACUUAUCUUAACGCCACUAUGUAAAGAAGCUGAAGAUGCAUCUUCCGAUUGCUAUUGCUGAAAAACAGCACAGAGAAGAACCAGGAACUGGAGCAAGAACAGAUUUUUUGGAAGAACAUGAAAGAUUUUGAAAUUUGCAAGCAAUGCAGGUCACUCGCCAGUGGAAUUAUACAAUGCAUGAGAGACAACCUCAUCUUACAGUUCUGUAAGUUUUAAUCCUUCUUAGUGAUUUUCUUUUAUUUAUUCUUACCAAGGAAGAUACGACCACAAAACGAAGCUUCUAGUAAUAAUUCAUGGAACUUUUGAGUAAUUAAGCCCAGGUAUGUUCCCUUCAAUCCUUUUCUUCUGCUUAUUCUUUUGUUUUUGCUUCUAUAGUUUGAUCUUCAGACGUGUUUUCAUCUAGUUCAUCUUUGACGCAUAACUUGUGAGUAUUUCGAACUAGAAUUCAGAGAUUCAUUCUAACUUGCUUUGCUUUUGCACAACUAGUUGGGAUGGCCGAAAAAUGGGAAACAUUACGUGUUUACUCAGUUAUAUUGAAGAUAAGUUUAUAAGCUACCACUUAGCCACUCAUGAAGGAGAUAACUAUAUAAUUCGAUCAAACCUAGAAAACAACAUACUGUAUAGUGUACACGUUUUGUCUAUUUCAGGUCCAUCGAAAAGGGAGCUCUAAAGUGUCUGGAAUAAAUCUCUGGAAUUUUAUCUUCAGGUUUCUUGAAAUUUCAGUGAGUCCCAUGUAUUUGCGCUAAGCCUCUACAUUAUAGUAUCUCUCAGAUGGAGCUCACAAAUUGCUAAGAAAAACCUCUAUGUCAUCUUCUUGUUUCUGAAUCAAAUCCUUCUGUGGAGUUUCUGAACGUUCCUAUUUUUUAUUAUUGUUUGUCGUUUAAUUUUGCUCUUAUAGUUCGAAGUUACAUUCUCCAUUUUGUGGAAAAUGCUUUUCCUGCAAGUUUAUAGAAGUGGCUGAAUGCUCUUCCUGUAAGUGUCAAGAACUCGACGCUGUUUUGCACUUCCUAUUGAACGUUUUCUGAAGAAGCGGGUUGAAGGAAGCCUGAGAGAAAAACAAAACAGAGUCUCUUUGCCUGUUUAAGGUUCAUCGCAAAUGAUUUUGGUAAGGUAUGUGUCUUCCCUGUUUCUACUAUUCUUAGUCGUGUGAUUUUAUCUUGUAGUUUCAAGUUGUAUUCUCCUCUUUUCUUCUGCAUUAGUAAAAUUUAAACUUUUGUUAUGUUCUAAAAUCAGAAACACGUCUAUAAUUCCGUACCGUUCAGGGACCUUUAAACAUGACUGAGAGACAACCUUUAGAAUGUCGUCUUCUUUAUAUUCUUUUUUGCUCUUAAAGUUUGGAGUCAACAUAACUUCAUGCAUCAUGGACUCAUGCAUAUAAGACCACCUAUUCGUUAAUAUCUAUUGCUUACAUGCUUGCGUUCAGGCAUACAAUCCCUAUAAAUGCAUAGGCAUCCUUGCAUAUAUAAUAUAUUCUUUGUCCAUUUCUUCCUUCAUCACUUCGUUGCUUACAUGCGUAACCUGUUUACUUGCUUCCUUUGCUUACUUCCUUGCUUGUUUUUUUUCU